AGGCUCGUCCUCUCAGGGUAAGUCGGGACCUAAGCCCAGGCUGAAAAGCGUAAGCGAUGGACAACAGGUUGAGAUUCCUGUACUAUCUUCGAAUGUUUAAGAGAUGUACUGACGCAGGAGGAUAUGUUGAGCGUGUGAAUGGUAGAGCACGUCUAAGCAAGUAGGUAGAGAAUAGAGGCAAAUCCCUAUUUUUAAUAUCGAGAUGUGAUGGGGAGCGAAAAACAAGUAGUGAAGCAACAAAUUCCAAACUGCCAAGAAAAGGUACUAUUGAGUGAGAAGAUACCCGUACCAAAACCGACACAGGUAGGCAAGGAGAGAAUCCUAAGACGCGCGGAAGAACCUUUGUUAAGGAACUCGGCAAAAUGACCCCGUAACUUCGGGAGAAGGGGUACCAUUAGAUGUGAUAUACAUACGUAUGGAGCAUAGAGUGGUCGCAGAGAAUAGGCCCAAGCAACUGUUUACCAAAAACACAGGAGCGUGCGAAGGCGUAAGCCGCUGUAUACGCUCUGACGCCUGCCCGGUGCCGGAAGGUUAAGAGGAUCCGUUAACUUCGGUGAAGCGGUGAAUUUAAGCCCCGGUAAACGGCGGUGGUAACUAUAACCAUCCUAAGGUAGCGAAAUUCCUUGUCGGGUAAGUUCCGACCUGCACGAAUGGCGUAACGACUUCCCCACUGUCUCGGCCAGGAGCCCGGCGAAAUUGCAGUACGAGUAAAGAUGCUCGUUAAGCGCAGAAGGACGAAAAGACCCCGGGACCUUUACUAUACCUUGGUAUUGUCGUUAGGUGUGGAUCGUGUAGCAUAGGCGGGAGGCUGUGAAGCGUGGGCGCUAGCUUGCGUGGAGUCGACAGGUGAAAUACCGCUCUUUCCAUAUCUGGCGUCUAACCUCAGCACGUUAUCCGUGUUAGGGACAGUGCCUGGCGGGUAGUUUAACUGGGGCGGUUGCCUCCUAAAGAGUAACGGAGGCGCUCAAUGGUCCGCUCAGCCCGGUUGGCAAUCGGGUGUUGAGUGUAAUCGCACAAGCGGGCUUGACUGUGAGACUGACGGGUCGAGCAGGGACGAAAGUCGGAGAUAGUGAUCCGGUGCCGGCGUACGGACGUGGCAUCGCUCAACGGAUAAAAGGUACCCCGGGGAUAACAGGCUGAUCAUUCCCAAGAGUCCAUAUCGACGGGAUGGUUUGGCACCUCGAUGUCGGCUCGUCGCAUCCUGGGGCUGGAGCAGGUCCCAAGGGUUCGGCUGUUCGCCGAUUAAAGCGGCACGCGAGCUGGGUUCAGAACGUCGUGAGACAGUUUGGUCUCUAUCCUCUGCGCUCGUUGGAAUGUUGAGGAGACCUGCCCAUAGUACGAGAGGACCUGGGUGGACAAACCUCUGGUAUGCCGGUCGUCACGCCAGUGGCGCUGCCGGUUAGCUACGUUUGGAAGGGAUAACCGCUGAAAGCAUCUAAGCGGGAAGCCUGCUCCAAGAUUAGCAUUCCUUGCACUUUGUGUGUGAGCCCCCAUGUAGAACACGUGGUUGAUAGGCUGGACGUGGAAGCCCUGUAAGGGGUGGAGCUGACCAGUACUAAUGGGCGAUUGUGA
rnacentral:rRNA from 1 species